AUUGAACGCUGGCGGCAGGCCUAAAACAUGCAAGUCGAGCGGAGCGGCGGAAGGGUGAGUAAUGCCUAGGAAUCUGCAUGGUAGUGGGGGAUAACGUCCGGAAACGGGCGCUAAUACCGCAUACUAUCAGAUGAGCCUAGGUCGGCUGAGAUAGUUGGUGGGGUAAAGGCCUACCAAGGCGACGAUCCGUAACUGGUCUGAGAGGAUGAUCAGUCACACUGGAACUAAGACACGGUCCAGACCCCUCCGGAAGGCCGCAGUGCGGAAUAUUGGACAAUGGGCGAAAGCCUGAUCCAGCCAUGCCGCGUGUGUGAAGAAGGUCUUCGGAUUGUAAAGCACUUUAAGUUUUGCGGCGUUACCAACAGAAUAAGCACCGGCUAACUUCGUGCCAGCAGCCGCGGUAAUUC
rnacentral:rRNA from 1 species